AAAUAAAAAAGAAAUCCGUCCAACCGGAUUCGAACCAGUGACCUAAGGAUACCUGCUGACUCUACAGUCCUCCGCUCUACCAACUGAGCUAUCGACGGCAC
rnacentral:tRNA from 1 species